rnacentral:rRNA from 1 species
GAUGAACGCUGGCGGCGUGCCUAAUACAUGCAAGUCGAGCGAAGCGGGGACGGGUGAGUAACACGUGGAUAACCUCCUAUAAGACUGGGAUAACUUCAGGAAACCGGAGCUAAACCGGAUCCUUAUAGAUGGGUCCGCGCUGCAUUAGCUAGUUGGUAAGGUAACGGCUUACCAAGGCAACGAUGCUUAGCCGACCUGAGAGGGGGAUCGGCCACACUGGAACUGAGACACGGUCCAGACUCCUACGGGAGGCAGCAGUAGGGAAUAUUCCGCAAUGGGCGAAAGCCUGAUGGAGCAACGCCGCGUGAGUGAUGAAGGUCUUCGGAUCGUAAAACUCUGUUAUGAGGGAAGCGGUACCUAAACAGAAAGCAACGGCUAACUACGUGCCAGCAGCCGCGGUAAUAC